rnacentral:rRNA from 1 species
UGGGGAAUUUUGGACAAUGGACGCAAGUCUGAUCCAGCCAUGCCGCGUGCGGGAAGAAGGCCUUCGGGUUGUAAACCGCUUUUGUCAGGGAAGAAACGAGUUUCUCUAAUACAGAGACUUAAUGACGGUACCUGAAGAAUAAGCACCGGCUAACUACGUGCCAGCAGCCGCGGUAAUACGUAGGGUGCGAGCGUUAAUCGGAAUUACUGGGCGUAAAGCGUGCGCAGGCGGUUAUGUAAGACAGAUGUGAAAUCCCCGGGCUCAACCUGGGAACUGCAUUUGUGACUGCAUAGCUGGAGUGCGGCAGAGGGGGAUGGAAUUCCGCGUGUAGCAGUGAAAUGCGUAGAUAUGCGGAGGAACACCGAUGGCGAAGGCAAUCCCCUGGGCCUGCACUGACGCUCAUGCACGAAAGCGUGGGGAGCGAACA